rnacentral:lncRNA from 1 species
UUGAAAUGGAAACAGAUGGAAUGACUGGCUACUGUAAUAAUACUACAGCAGCUCCAUAAUGCAUGAAAUCCUAAAAAGUAUGUAAUAUUAUAAGUAUCUUUUCAAUACAGGUUUCAUUGCUAUUAUUCAUCAGUUUCCGUUUAGAUUACCUGUUCCGAUUUAAUAACCUUUGAUAAAUUUGAAAAAUUUGUCUUUCAAACAGAGCCUGUUAGUAUUAAUGAAGAAAAUGAGGGAUUUGAACAUAACACACAAGUUAGAAAUCAAGGAAUUAUAGCUUUGAGUUACCGUGACUGGGAGGUAAAGCUCUGCCUGUUGCCCCUGCAUAGUUCUGACUCUGCCUUCACUUGCAGUAAGCCCAGUGCCUAAAUGUUCAUUAUUGUCUGCCAGGAGAUUGUGAAGACCUUUGAGAUUUCAGAGCCUGUGAUUACUCCAAGUCAGAGGCAGCAGAAGCCAAGUGCUUGAUGCUAGCUGAAGGACUCAAAUGGAUAGUGAAGUCCAAAACGGAAAGCGGCAUGUAUCGUACAUAUUGUAUGAUUCAACAUUUUUAAAGGCAGAUUGUUUUUAGUAAAAUGUAGCUUUUGAUAGUUAAUAAAUUUGUCAUGGUUGUCUUUGAUUAAAGGAAACUCACCGCCAUAUUCACAAA